rnacentral:rRNA from 1 species
AGUGGCGGACGGGUGAGUAACGCGUGAGAAUCUGCCUUGGGGUCGGGGACAACCACUGGAAACGGUGGCUAAUACCGGAUAAGCCGAUUGGUGAAAGAUUUAUUGCCCGAAGAGGAGCUCGCGUCUGAUUAGCUAGUUGGUGAGGUAAGAGCUCACCAAGGCAGCGAUCAGUAGCUGGUCUGAGAGGACGAUCAGCCACACUGGGACUGAGACACGGCCCAGACUCCUACGGGAGGCAGCAGUGGGGAAUUUUCCGCAAUGGGCGAAAGCCUGACGGAGCAAGACCGCGUGAGGGAGGAAGGCUCUUGGGUUGUAAACCUCUUUUCUCAGGGAAGAAGCUCUGACGGUACCUGAGGAAUCAGCCUCGGCUAACUCCGUGCCAGCAGCCGCGGUAAUACGGAGGAGGCAAGCGUUAUCCGGAAUUAUUGGGCGUAAAGCGUCCGCAGGUGGCGAUUCAAGUCUGCUGUCAAAGCACGGGGCUUAACUCCGUAAAGGCAGUGGAAACUGAAUAGCUAGAGUGCGUAGGGGUAGAGGGAAUUCCCGGUGUAGCGGUGAAAUGCGUAGAGAUCGGGAAGAACAUCGGUGGCGAAAGCGCUCUACUGGACGGCAACUGACACUCAGGGACGAAAGCUAGGGGAGCGAAUGGGAUUAGAUACCCC